rnacentral:rRNA from 1 species
CCUACGGGGGGCAGCAGUGAGGAAUAUUGGUCAAUGGCCGGAAGCCUGAACCAGCCAAGUCGCGUGAGGGACGACUGCCCUAUGGGUUGUAAACCUCUUUUAUAAGGGAAGAAUAAAUGCUACGUGUAGCAUGCUGCCUGUACCUUAUGAAUAAGCAUCGGCCAACUCCGUGCCAGCAGCCGCGGUAAUACGGAGGAUGCGAGCGUUAUCCGGAUUUAUUGGGUUUAAAGGGUGCGUGGGCGGUUUUUUAAGUUAGUGGUUAAACGUCGGGGCUUCACCUUGAUUUGCCAUUAAUACUGUAAGACUCGAGUUCAGACGAGGUAGGCGGAAUAAGUUAAGUAGCGGUGAAAUGCUUAGAUAUAACUUAGAACUCCGAUAGCGAAGGCAGCUUACCAGACUGCGACUGACGCUGAAGCACGAGAGCGUGGGUAGCGAACAGGAUUAGAUACCCUUGUAGUC